UGGAAGCAAGGCAGCCCCGUUGAGGUUUCCCUUGGAGACCUGCCAAGGCACUCAUUUGGGUCAGGCAAGGAGGAUGGGCAAGCCUCUGGGGGAGGGACGUCCACACAGGGAAUAAAUUACUGCAAGUGAAGGAGGUAAUAUUUAGGACUUGUUCUGCAUUUGAAUAUUAUUUAAAGUGCAGAGCUGCAGAUUCGGAACAUGAGACUGGAAGGACCUUGGAGGAGCAUCUUAUCCACCCCCUUGGUUUACAGAUGUGAGAGCUGAGAGCAGAAGGGACCCCGUGAGGUCAUCCAGCAAACAGGAGUAAACCGUGUCCUCAGCUGGGUUCACCAGGGUUUCCCAUUCGUGCUCACCCAUGGUGGGAAUGAGCCCCAGCCUCUGGACCUUUGUGCCCUUUAGCCCCCAGAGGAGAGAGGAACCAUGCACACCAGUGCCUCCUCCAAGUUGGUCGUUGGCUCCUUGGAAAACCACCCCAGGGAGAGGGUGAGACUGGAGCCAGCCAUGACCUCCACCAGCCACCAGGUGUCACUGAUGUGUCUGUCUGAGAGGCAGAGGCCAAUCUGCGAACGCGCAGAGGCUUCUGGGAGAUUUCCAGGCGCUCUGCCCUGUCUUCCCGGUUUCUCAGGGACUGCCUUCCUGGGGACUGGAAAGGACCGGGCCCUCCACACUGAUAGAGAACAGAUGACGGGGGCCGGGCCGGCACCACUUGACCCUUCACUGUGAACACUGUGUUCCCUGGGGCCUCAGGCCCCUGUUGAGGUUGGGCAAGUGACCCAUCCACCCCCACGUGGGCCCAGCCUGGGGCUCUGACCCCACCUCUCCAACUGGCUGCUUCCUAGUUCUUCGGGCCAUGCUUCUCCUUGGCUGUUCCUCUCUGAGCCCCAGCCCGCAGGGCGAGUGCCAUGUGCACCCAGAGAAGGAGGAGGGACACCCAACUUGUCCCUGCCAGAUGCAGGCCCUUGUGGGCAUCCCGACCCUCCACCCCACCUCUUUCAUUCCCUCCCUGCUGAAUGUGGGCCAGCAGAGAGCCAGUCCAAUGUCAUGCUGGGGAACGGGGCUGUGGAGCAGCAGUUUUGGAAGAAGGGAUCCUUGGCUGAGGAAACGGGUUUCUCAACCUCUUUGAGCCAGAGCUGCCCAAGUUGGAGGAGUCUCCAGCGGCACUUUCGAAACCUCACCUCUGGACUGCCCUGUCUUCUGCUUGCUUGGCCAGGACC